UACGUAGGGGGCAAGCGUUGUCCGGAAUCACUGGGCGUAAAGCGCGCGCAGGCGGCUAUCUACGUCCGGGGUGAAAGCCCAGAGCUCAACUCUGGGAUUGCCUUGGAUACGGGAUGGCUUGAGGAUCGGAGAGGCAAGGGGAAUUCCACGUGUAGCGGUGAAAUGCGUAGAGAUGUGGAGGAACACCUGUGGCGAAGGCGCCUUGCUGGCCGAUUUCUGACGCUGAUUGUGCGAAAGCUAGGGGAGCGAACGGG
rnacentral:rRNA from 1 species